GUCUAUUUGAAGUUGUAAAUAGUCUAGCCUGCUCACUGAUAGAAUUUAUUUAAGAGCCGCGGUAUUCUGACCGUGCAAAGGUAGCAUAAUCAUUAGAGGUUUAAUUGGAAUCUGGUAUGAAUGGUUGGACAAAGGAAAAACUGUCUUUAUAAUAUAAUUUGAAUUUUACAUUUAAGUGAGAAGGCUUAAAUAAUUCAAGGGGACGAUAAGACCCUAUAAAGCUUUAUAAAUAAUUUAAAUUUAUCUGAAUUAAAUAAUAAAAGCUAAGUUUAAUUAUUUUAUUUUGUUGGGGUGAUGUGAGUAUAAAUAUAAUUAACUGCUUAAAAAAAAUUCUAUAUAAAAGAGUUUGAAAUUUAAAGGAUCCUUUAUAAAGAUUAAAAGAUUAAGUUACUUUAGGGGUAACAGCGUUAUUUCUUUUGAGAGUUCAUAUCGAAAAAGAAGAUUGCGACCUCGAUGUUGAAUUAAAAUAUCUAUAUAAUGUAGCCGUUAUAAAAGAGGGUCUGUUCGACCUUUAAAUUUUU
rnacentral:rRNA from 1 species